rnacentral:rRNA from 1 species
GACGAACGCUGGCGGCGUGCUUAACACAUGCAAGUCGAACGGAAAGGCCCUGCUUUUGUGCGGUGCUCGAGUGGCGACCGGGUGAGUAACACGUGAGUACCCUGCACUUGCCCUUGGGAUAACUUCAGGAAACUGGGUCUAAUCCCGGCUAGGAGCUCCUGCUUCAUGGUGGGGGUUGGUAAGUUUCGGUGGUUGGGGAUGGACUCGCGGCUUAUCAGCUUGUUGGUGGGGUAGUGGCUUACCAAGGCCUUGACCGGUAGCCGGCCUGAGAGGGUGACCGGCCACAUUGGGACUGAGAUGAGGCCCAGACUCCUACGGGAGGCAGCAGUGGGGAAUAUUACACAAUGGGCGGAAGCCUGAUGUAGCAACGCCGCGUGGGGGAUGACGGCCUGCGGGUUGUAAACCGCUUCCGCCUGUGACGAAGCGUGAGUGACGGUAAUGGGUAAAGAAGCACCGGCUAACUACGUG